rnacentral:rRNA from 1 species
AGUGAACGCUGGCGGUAGGCCUAACACAUGCAAGUCGAACGGCAGCACAGAGGAGCUUGCUCCUUGGGUGGCGAGUGGCGGACGGGUGAGGAAUACAUCGGAAUCUACUCUGUCGUGGGGGAUAACGUAGGGAAACUUACGCUAAUACCGCAUACGACCUACGGGUGAAAGCAGGGGAUCUUCGGACCUUGCGCGAUUGAAUGAGCCGAUGUCGGAUUAGCUAGUUGGCGGGGUAAAGGUCCACCAAGGCGACGAUCCGUAGCUGGUCUGAGAGGAUGAUCAGCCACACUGGAACUGAGACACGGUCCAGCCUCCUACGGGAGGCAGCAGUGGGGAAUAUUGGACAAUGGGCGCAAGCCUGAUCCAGCCAUACCGCGUGGGUGAAGAAGGCCUUCGGGUUGUAAAGCCCUUUUGUUGGGAAAGAAAUCCAUCUGGUUAAUACCCGGGUGGGAUGACGGUACCCAAAGAAUAAGCACCGGCUAACUUCGUGCCAGCAGCCGCCGUAA